rnacentral:rRNA from 1 species
GACGAACGCUGGCGGCGCGCCUAACACAUGCAAGUCGAACGAGCGAGAGAGAGCUUGCUUUCUCAAGCGAGUGGCGAACGGGUGAGUAACGCGUGAGGAACCUGCCUCAAAGAGGGGGACAACAGUUGGAAACGACUGCUAAUACCGCAUAAGCCCACGACCCGGCAUCGGGUUGAGGGAAAAGGAGCAAUCCGCUUUGAGAUGGCCUCGCGUCCGAUUAGCUAGUUGGUGAGGUAACGGCCCACCAAGGCAACGAUCGGUAGCCGGACUGAGAGGUUGAACGGCCACAUUGGGACUGAGACACGGCCCAGACUCCUACGGGAGGCAGCAGUGGGGAAUAUUGCACAAUGGGGGAAACCCUGAUGCAGCGACGCCGCGUGGAGGAAGAAGGUCUUCGGAUUGUAAACUCCUGUUGUUGAGGAAGAUAAUGACGGUACUCAACAAGGAAGUGACGGCUAACUACGUGCCAGCAGCCGCGGUAAAACGUAGGUCACAAGCGUUGUCCGGAAUUACUGGGUGUAAAGGGAGCGCAGGCGGGAAGACAAGUUGGAAGUGAAAUCUAUGGGCUCAACCCAUAAACUGCUUUCAAAACUGUUUUUCUUGAGUAGUGCAGAGGUAGGCGGAAUUCCCGGUGUAGCGGUGGAAUGCGUAGAUAUCGGGAGGAACACCAGUGGCGAAGGCGGCCUACUGGGCACCAACUGACGCUGAGGCUCGAAAGUGUGGGUAGCAAACAGG